rnacentral:rRNA from 1 species
UACGGGGGGGGGAAGCGUUGUUCGGAAUUACUGGGCGUAAAGGGCUCGUAGGCGGCCAACUAAGUCGGAUGUGAAAUCCCCAAGCCUAACUUGGGAACUGCAUCCGAUACUGGAUGGCUUGAAUCCGGGAGAGGGAUGCAGAAUUCCAGGUGUAGCGGUGAAAUGCGUAGAUAUCUGGAAGAACACCCGUGGCUAAGGCGGCUCUCUAGUACGGUACUGACGCUGAGACGCGAAAGCGUGGGGAGCGAACAGG